rnacentral:misc_RNA from 1 species
AAGCUCUUGCUGCUGAUCAAGCUGCAUCUGCUCAAGCCAAGAUUCCAAAACAGAAUCAAUUUGAGAAUUAGGAUUCAGUCCCUCACCAGAUGAGGCUGCACCAGAAACAGGUACACCAUACUUCUCCUUAAGCAUCUCAGGAGGAGAUUCCUUCACCAGAGACUGGACCCAUGAGAGGUCAGGCUCCUCACAAUUGUUUCCAAGCUCAAAUGAUGAUGAUCUUCGCAGGCGACCCUGUUCAUCUCCUCCAUUAACAGACCAAUCUAAUUUCCCAUUUGGGGAACCCCACUUGGUCCAAGAAUUCGCUGGAGAACCAACAAUGG